CGUUUUGCACAAUGGAAGGGCGCCAACGUGUCAAUCGUCUUGCAUUGCUUCGACUCCGUUUCCAUCCCCUUUUCUUUCCCUCUUUUCCUCUCCGACUCUUUCUGUAACCAUCCAUCACUGUAAAUUCGUCAAAAAAUCCGACACAAAUAGACACGUUUCGAGGAGGACAAGGUGAAAAAACAAGGCGUUUGGUGUGUAUGACGAGCGCUUCGGAGCUUUUCUACAACCGGGGGUCUCGCUACACCAGCCGAACCGCCACCGAUCUAGGGUUCGACUCCCUCCCUCUUCUUCCGACAGUUGCCCGAAGUCAAAACCAUAAUCACAGUCGACGCCACCACAAUUCCGACGGCUGUGAUCCCCUCCUCCGCCGAACUCCUCUCUAUUUCCGCCACCGCGCCUACCUUCCUUCACGGCACCAAGGUCGUCGCUGCACCACCUCUCUCUUCCGGAAGAUUGAAAGCUCAGAGACACUUCAAGUCUGCUUAUGCUAAAGCUUCGGACCACGUUCCCUAGCAGUUUAGGCAGGAAAAUCUCGAAGAUGGAGGUGAGUUUUCACUACCCUUUUGCUCAAUUUUUUGUUUAUUGAUUUUUAUAGAUUGCCAUCUCUUCUAAUUUUGUUUUAAGUGGGAAUUUGUGAUUCGUUUCUGUAUUUUAAUCAAAUUUGCUAUGUGCACGUAUUGUUUCCUUUCUGAUUUUUUUUUUUGGUUUUGUAUUUCGGAUGGGAGGUUUCAAAUUUUCAAUUGGGUUACUGCGUAAAGAGGAAGGGAAUAUAGGGGAAGUUGAAGUUUGAACAUUUAAUUGUUAAUCUUAUGAUAUUUGAGGAGACAAUAGGUUUUAUUUGGUUGAAGAAGGUAGUAAAUUUAGAAAAAAUUGAGGGCAAUUUCAUGUUGCCAUAUUAUUAUCAUGCAUUAUCCUAUACAGGAAGAGGAACUAUUGGGGUGAACUAGAUUGGUCAUGCUCUAUUGAUAUGUCGAAAGUGAAUGACUGACCAUAAUCUGAUUGGAGAAGUCAAGGGAAGUGCGUAGUUGAGGAUUGUAUAAUUUGGAUUAGUGUACGACUAUGGCAUGGGAGGAAGAAGUGGACCGUGCACGCCAAGGUCAGAGGGAUGCAUAGGUCAAGCUUUCUUCUUUGAGGCCGAAGUCCAAAAAAUGAGAGUUGAGAUGGCUUCCAUGAAGAGGGAUGCAGAGCAUUCCUUGCGCCAAGAACACAUGGAGCUAGAGAAGCUCUAUCGUGAACUCACUGAUCUACUGGUGAGUUGCCGGAUGCAUGUGCAGAUUACUCAAAUAGACGAAGCUAAGAAUGACUUAGUAUUGAGUGAGAAAGAAGCUUGGGAACUGUUAUACCUUAAGGAGGGAACGCUUGUAGAAGGAACUGUCAAGAAAAUCUUUCCAUAUGGAGCCCAAGUGAGGAUAGGAUAAACUAACAGGAGGUAUAAUGACUUUCAAACUUACUUUAAAAUCAGACUGCGUGCGUGGUUUCCCUGCUUUUUCCACUUUUGAAGAAGCGUUGCAUGUGUGGAGUACUUUUGAAAGAUUAGAACACCACAAAAUGGAAAUAAAAUAGCAUGGGACUUUCUCUCAAAAGGUAUCUAAAUGCAUGAAAAAAUGAGAAGAUACAUAAUAUUGAUCUUCAGAAUAGAAAUGAAAAUUUUGAACUUUAAAAUGGAAGGCAUGCAAUUUUGUACUCUUACCCAGCAGUUGCCUCUCAGAAUUGUCUCAUUCCCUUUCUUAAGAGGGAUCUAUUUUGAUAAGAAACAAGACCUUACAACUAUUGCAUUCUUCGUUUUUCUUGAAUUUCCUUGGUUUUUGAUGGGUGAUUGAGUGGUGUUUGAUUGAGAAAUUUGCUGAUUAGGGUUAGGUUGGCGUCUGUUUGGUUGGCUGGAAAUUUUGGGAAAGAAAAUGGGGUCAUGGGAUAAGGAUUUAGGACCUUUGUAACUCUAUUCAUAUGUAUCUCCUGAUUAGUAUUCAAAUUUAGUGCAUAUAAGUCCAUUUCUUAAGAGGGAUCUAUUUUGAUAAGAAACAAGACCUUACAACUGUUGCAUUCUUCGUUUUCUUGAUUGUAAAGUCUGUGUACCAUGUUAAGUAUAUUAAUAGGAUGCUUAGGUAAUUGUAGGAGAAGUUAUGCGUGCAUUCUUUUGGCAAUCCUUUCCCAGAACCUGUAGUGAUCCUGAUAUGAGUCUAACUCUGCCUUGGUCAUAGCUCAACAUGGAAACGUUAUGAAAUAUCUUCUUUAUAAGUGUUUCUAGGCUCUAGCCUCCUCUUUUUUAGCAGACUUAUCUAAUGUAUAACAAAGCAUGUUCUACUAGAGCUCAAAUCAUACAAAGAGAGGGAAAAUCAAAAUACACCAGAAAUAUAAAAAAAAACUUAAUUUAUUAAGAUGUAUGGAGGAAAGGUUUUAGUCAUUUAAAAUUGGUUUAAAUUAACGAUGUUAUAUAGUGAUUCUAAUUUGAUGCUUGCUUGCCCUGCAAUCAACUCAGUGCUUAAUGAUUAUGCAUGUUUCCCACUUCCCAGGUCUAAUUUGAUCGCAUGCAUGUAACAAUAGUUAAAUUGGGGGACUGGACAAUUAACUAAUGGAUUUGCUGUGUUUGCGAUUUUCAUUUUCAUGUUUUUGGAUUUAAUUAGGUUUGUAGUUUGUCAUAUGAUUGACUUCUGAAUGAUGUUACGGACUCAUGUUGUGCCAUCGCUUAUGCCCUUUUAACCUGUAUAUGUGUUCCCUCAAUGGGUUUUAUUAUCCCUGAAAUCUUUUUGAAAUCAAAUGUUGCUCCUUUCGUUUGUGAUAGUUUGUACACUACUAAAUUCUUAAUUGAAGUCAUUAUUCUUUUGUUUUCUGCCUUUUCACCUUCUUAAGAGUCUGAAAUCCAUAUAUAUGUAACCCUUAAUUAGUUUAGAUAUGCCUUUUCCCAUUCUUAAACGCGAUACUCUCAACAUUUAUUUCAUGAAUCUAUAAGAACCACAUAUCUUGGGAUGCAAAAUCUGUACUGUAAUAUUAACUGAAUAUAUUCAUACUUUGAUUCUACCUGUUGAUUGGGCAAUAAUCUUCUCCUAAACUAACAAUCUGACUAUCUGACUAUCAUACUAAUUAGAAACAUGCUGAUGCUAUUUGAUACGCAUGCAUCAUAUAUAUCAUACAUACCUUUGCAGGGAGAUGUUCAACAAUGGUGGACUUUCCGUAUGCAGUAAUUUCGGCACUCUUUCAGAUUUGUACUUUAUUCUAUAUUUGUUGCUAGAAGCGUAGUACUGUAUGGAAGGAACACAAUUUUUUAUAGUUUUUUUGUUUGGUGCUAAACAUCCCAUCUCUGUGUUAUUCUCAGACUCUCACAGUCGCCGCAUCACUCGCCCACUCACUCACUCACUCACUCCAGGCUAGAAAUAAGACAACUCGGUGAGGGGAUACAUCAUGUUCCAGGUCUGGUUGAGGCACAUGUAAACAACAUGAGUGAAGUCUGGGAAGUUCUGCAAACUGGCAGUAAUGCAAGGAGAACGACUCAAGGAAACUCAAAACAUAAAUAGGAACUCGAAGCUUACCCACUUGCUUCAAGACUCUCUAGGAGGAGACUCGAAGACACUCAUGUUUGUUCAAAUAAGUCCUAAUGAAAAUGGUGUGAGUGAGACAUUUUGCUCACUGAACUUUGCAAGUAGAGUGAGACGGAUAGAGUUGGGUCCAGCAAAGAGGCAACUGGACACUUGUGAACUUUUGAGAUACAAACAGAUGGUCAAUCCCCAAUUUUAUGCAUUUAAGUGGAUCACCCUCCUCUUAACCACAAAAUAUACAGACUUCGAAAUCAAUACUGUAAUUAAGCUGCUGUUUCUUGCGAAUAUCAGUUUUCAAUUUCCAAUCAACAACGGGUAGAUCUAUAGGACAUGCACGAACGCGUACUUCACAAGUAAUGCUUUUAUCAAAUUCAAAAUGGCAGGAGUUCAAUUUCGCUGACAGCCUUCACACUUGGGAUACACUUUCAAGUGAUCUGAGGGUCCUCAGAAGUAAUUGAUAAGAGUUGGAUGUGAUUCUACUAAAGUUGGAAAUCGUUGUCCUUAGAGCAAGCAAGUUUGCAGAUAUCCAUUUUGUUUUGAUUCGGGCAUCUUCAACCAGUUAGUAUAGGACAUAAAAAAAUGAUUUGAUUGAACUGUUAUGUAUUUCUAUUUUUUUUAAGGAAAACUAAUGAAAAGAGCUUGAAAACUUGGAGUUUUAAUGAUAAGGACAAAAUAAAGGGUAAAAUGAAU